rnacentral:rRNA from 1 species
GACGAACGCUGGCGGCGUGCUUAACACAUGCAAGUCGAACGGUGAAGCGCCUUCCUUUUUGGUGGGUGUGGAUGAGUGGCGAACGGGUGAGUAACACGUGAGUAACCUGCCCCCUUCUUCUGGAUAACCGCAUGAAAGUGUGGCUAAUACGGGAUAUUCUGGGUCUGUCGCAUGAUGGGUCUGGGAAAGAUAUUGUUUCGGUGGGGGAUGGGCUGGCGGCCUAUCAGCUUGUUGGUGGGGUGAUGGCCUACCAAGGCGGUGACGGGUAGCCGGCCUGGGAGGGUGGACGGUCACACUGGGACUGAGACAAGGCCCAGACUCCUACGGGAGGCAGCAGUGGGGAAUAUGGCACAAUGGGCGAAAGCCUGAUGCAGCGACGACGCGUGAGGGAUGGAGGCCUUCGGGUUGUGAACCUCUUUCGCCAGUGAAGCAGGCCUGCCUCGUUUGUGGGUGGGUUGACGGUAGCUGGAUAGGAAGCGCCGGCUAACUACGUG